CCACAACCGGCCAGAGGUCAAGUGGUCUGACCAGUUAGCAUUUCGUCGUAAUUUCGUAGGUCGCUUCCGCGGCGGUGGC
rnacentral:tRNA from 1 species